AUUGAACGCUGGCGGCAGGCCUAACACAUGCAAGUCGAGCGGAUGAAGGGAGCUUGCUCCUGGAUUCAGCGGCGGACGGGUGAGUAAUGCCUAGGAAUCUGCCUGGUAGUGGGGGAUAACGUCCGGAAACGGGCGCUAAUACCGCAUACGUCCUGAGGGAGAAAGUGGGGGAUCUUCGGACCUCACGCUAUCAGAUGAGCCUAGGUCGGAUUAGCUAGUUGGUGGGGUAAAGGCCUACCAAGGCGACGAUCCGUAACUGGUCUGAGAGGAUGAUCAGUCACACUGGAACUAAGACAAGGUCCAAACUACUACGGGAGGCAGCAGUGGGGAAUAUUGGACAAUGGGCGAAAGCCUGAUCCAGCCAUGACGCGUGUGUGAAGAAGGUCUUCGGAUUGUAAAGAACUUUAAGUUGGGAGGAAGGGCAGUAAGUUAAUACCUUGAUGUUGUGAAGUUACCAACAGAAUAAGCACCGGAUAACUUCGUG
rnacentral:rRNA from 1 species